CAGUCGCCGCGGGAAUACGUAGGUGGCAAGCGUUGUCCGGAAUUAUUGGGCGUAAAGGGCUCGCAGGCGGUUUCUUAAGUCUGAUGUGAAAGCCCCCGGCUCAACCGGGGAGGGUCAUUGGAAACUGGGAAACUUGAGUGCAGAAGAGGAGAGUGGAAUUCCACGUGUAGCGGUGAAAUGCGUAGAGAUGUGGAGGAACACCAGUGGCGAAGGUGACUCUCUGGUCUGUAACUGACGCUGAGGAGCGAAAGCGUGGGGAGCGAACAGGAUUAGAUACCCGAGUAGUCCCUGUCUCUUAUAC
rnacentral:rRNA from 1 species